rnacentral:piRNA from 1 species
UGCCUCGAUUUUUUAAAAAGGUCUGGACUGU